AAUGGUCGUAAGACUGAACCAGCCAAGUNNGCGUGAAGGUAACUGCCCUAUGGGUUUUCAACUUCUUUUGUCAGGGAAGAAUAAGGAGGAUUCAAUUCUCCGAUGCCGGUACCUGACGAAUAAGGAUCGGCUAACUCCGUGCCAGCAGCCGCGGUAAUACGGAGGAUCCGAGCGUUAUCCGGAUUUAUUGGGUUUAAAGGGUGCUUAGGCGGCAAAUUAAGUUAGUGGUUAAAUAGUUCGGCUCAACCGGAUUUCGCCAUUAAAACUGAUAUGCUAGAGAUUAAACGAGGUAGGCGGAAUAAGUUAAGUAGCGGUGAAAUGCAUAGAUAUAACUUAGAACUCCGAUAGCGAAGGCAGCUUACCAGGCUAUAUCUGACGCUGAAUCACGAGAGCGUGGGUAUCGAACAGGAUUAGAUACCCUGGUAGUCCACGCCGUAAACGAUGCUCACCGGCUCUAUGCGAUAAGACAGUAUGGGGCUAAUAGAAAUAAUUAAGUGAGCCACCUGGGGAGUACGUCGGCAACGAUGAAACUCAAAGGAAUUGACGGGGGCCCGCACAAGCGGAGGAACAUGUGGCUUAAUUCGAUGAUACGCGA
rnacentral:rRNA from 1 species